AUUGAACGCUGGCGGCAGGCCUAACACAUGCAAGUCGAGCGGAUGAAGGGAGCUUGCUUCUGGAUUCAGAGGCGGAAGGGGGAGUAAUGCCUAGGAAUCUGCCUCGUUGUGGGGGAUAAUGUCUGGAAACGGGCGCUAAUACUGCAUACGUCCUGCGGGAGAAGGAGGGGGAUGUUCGGACCUCACGCUAUCAGAUGAGCCUAGGUCGGAUUGGUUAGUUGGUGGGGUGAAGGCCUACCAAGGCGGCGAUUCGUAACUGGCCGGAGAGGAUGGGCAGUCGCACUGGAACUGAGACCCGGUCCAGACUCCUACGGGAGGCAGCCGUGGGGAAUAUUGGACAAUGGGCGGAAGCCUUAUCCAACCGUGCCGCGUGUGUGAAGAAGAUCUUCGGAUUGUAAAGCACUUUAAGUUGGGAGGAAGGGCAUUAAGUUAAUACCUUGCUGUUUUGACGUUACCAGCAUAAUAAGCACCGGCUAACUUCGUG
rnacentral:rRNA from 1 species